AAUUGGAUACCGCUUUCACCGCUCUCUUAUACGCCUUGCAUUACCCGAGAACACAACAUAAAAGAAGCAAACAAAGCGCAGACAACCUGUAUACAGACGCGCCUCUGCCCUAUAUUUCUCCACCGCCGGUCACCUCUCUCUUUAUUGCUGAUUUUCGGUUUUUGUUUUCUUUUGUGUCUUCUCUGUUUGCUGGCGCUGUUUCUCUAGUGUAGGGCACACUCCCGUCCCUACUUGUUCUUUCGCUCUCAUCCCUCUCGAAAGGAAAGCAAAACAAAGAAAACAAAGAUGGCACUUCGCCGCAUCCAGAAGGAGCUGAAGGACCUCGAAAAGGAUCCGCCAGCGAACACGAGCGGCGGACCGGUCAGCGAGAGUGACCUCUUUAAUUGGAAGGCCACCAUCAUUGGCCCGGAGGACUCACCAUACGCAGGUGGUCUCUUCUUUCUCAACAUCCACUUCCCUUCUGACUACCCGUUCAAGCCGCCGAAGCUACAGUUCACAACCAAGAUCUACCACCCGAACAUAAACAACAACGGCGGCAUCUGCCUUGAUAUUCUCAAGGACCAGUGGUCACCGGCGCUGACGAUCUCGAAGGUUUUGCUGUCCGUGUGCUCUCUGCUGACGGACCCCAACCCCGACGAUCCGCUGGUACCGGAUAUCGCGCGCCAGUACAAGACUGAUAGGAACGCCUUCAACAAGACAGCCGCCGAGUGGACUCGUCAGUAUGCCAUGUAGGAUGCCCAAAAGGAAAAGAAAAGUGAAUCCGGGGGCGGUGGGAAAUGAAGCGAAGGAGAGAACCGAAGAGCAGCGGGAAGCUUGAAGGAAACUGAAGAUACGCGGGAGACCGCGGAGGCCUGCUGCUAAUAACCCGUCUUCUCUCCCCGUCGGCCGGAUGAGUUGUCCAGUCACGUGCAUCGCGUCUGGGUCCGUUCCACCUCUCAUUUCUUUCGUUUUCUCUUCCUCCGCUGCAGUUGUCAUGCUCUCAGUACCUUUCGCCUCUCUUUUUCCUCGUGCCACCGUAGCCUUCUCUUCCCUUCUUCCUGGACUCAGCGAAUGCCUCAGGGCAGCACUUGAAUUCUGCACCGUGGCGAGCGAGAGGCGCGGAGGGCGGCGAAGUUGGAAGAGUCUGUAGACGAAAGAAACAAGAGAAAGAGACAGCGAGAGAGAACGUUGUGUGCGUGUGUGCGUGUGUGCGUGAGGAGGAGGACCGAAAGGAGAACAAAGGGGAGGUGAGCUCAGAAGACCGAAAACGGUGAGGGAGCGGCUCAAUCUGUGAGUGUGCACCCGUGUAGGGCCUGUGUUUCAAGUCCUUGCUGGAACCCCUCCUCUCUUCCCCAUUUCCCGCUUCUGUCUCUUCGAGCACUUUUUUCCGUGCUGUUCGUUUCGCGUUUGUCUCGUCCUUGCUCCCAUCUGCCUCACGCUCUCUCUUUCAUUCUUCGGAUUCUUUUUCGGCGACAUCGUGCUUUAGUGGGACUCACUUUCAUGCGCCGCAAAUAUAUCGUCUCAUGAAGCCGGUCUUUCGCUUUUUUGUUUUCGCUGUCUCUUCCUAUUAUUUGUCUUCUGUGCUUUGCUCUUGUUCCCUUUCCCUUUUUGUGUUUGAGUGCCCUCGCGUCGCCGUCUUAUCGCCUCUCCUGCCCAUCCUGCCUACCCUUUGCUUUGCGUUUGUGUGUCACCGUGCUGACCUGACUGCCCACGACUACUUAUCCACGGAUACACACCUACGCACAAAAGAGAAGUGGGCCACGAUCGAAGCAUGCUCUAUGGCGCAUGCUUCAGUAUGCACGAGGCCGAGAAGCAGAGGCGUGAAGCAGAUGAGGAGGGGGAGAUGGACGCGAGAACCGGCAAACGAAGGGGAGGGGGGCUACAAAGAAGGGGUGAAAACGAAAAGAGAAUUCCAUUUUCGCUGUUUAUUAUUUUCUACUCGUCGUUUCCACUUGUGUUUUGCUCUCCUUCUCCGUGUAGGUUCACCCUUUCCCCUUCUCUUGCCCUCAUAUUCUCUACUCGUCAAGUGUUGAUGAGCUUACGGAGAAAGUGUUCGUUGGCUUUUUUGUGUGAAUGCCAUGCAUGUGCGUGUGCCGAUGCCUGUGAUGUGCCGCGAGAGGUUUGUGCGAGUCUGCGUGUUUGAGUUUGCUGACGUGCGAUUAUGUAUGUAUAUGUACCUGGGUGCGUUCUGAGUGCCCACGCCGUUCUCGCGCGCACACACAAAAAAGGGGAAGACGCAACAGUGAAAACAAAGAGGAGCCACAAUAUAUAUAUAUAUAUAUAUGACGCAGACAGCAGCGUGAUCAGGGAACCAAACAUUCAAGAAGACCACAAAAAAAAAUUGAGUUACAAAGCAAGGCGGGGGGGGGGGCGCAGAAUAAAAGGAGAAAAAAAAGAAAAUGAAACCCUUAAGCAAGCCUCCUCUCUCAUUCCUCACACUCCCCAGCCCGAAUAUUAGAGAAAACAGUUUCGAAUGAAGGUGAGAACGGAAGAAAGAAAAGCUGUCGAGCAUGCCAGCGCCCAAGAGGCAGAAAAAAAUACAAAAAGUACACAGCACAGGAAGAGAAAGAGGCUAACUAACGCAUGUAAUGAGUUUCUUUUUUUUUAGGAUUUGUCUUGCAGAGGCAUUUGGGAAGCGGUGGCGUUGGCAGCGAAACAACAAUAUCAGUGACGAUGACGGCGACGCGCACUUUUUCAUUUUUGGUGUUCUUCGUGAUCAUGAUGCGCAAUCGCUUCUCAG
rnacentral:misc_RNA from 1 species